CUUCUGAUUGGUUGAUAGGGCCUUGUCCUGAUUGGUUGGAAGGGCCUCGUUCUGAUUGGUCGAUAUGGCCGGUUCGUCAGGCCGCUCAUUGGUGCUUUUUGGAGCCAGGGUCCUCCGGUUUAAGUCCCGCUGGUGCUCCGGGCGGCGUCCUGUCCGCAGCCUGGUUCUGCUCCGUCGGAGUUGCGGUUUUCCAGUAACAGCCACCAGAAAGUGCUCCAGCUGGGGCUCCGGUGUGGACCCAACAGCCCAGAAGUUGCCUGUAACCAGUUUAAGUGACCUUAAGCUGACCUUACCUGCUGCCUGA
rnacentral:lncRNA from 1 species